AACGCACAUUGCGCCCCUUGGUAUUCCGAGGGGCAUGCCUGUUCGAGCGUCAUUUCACCAAUCAAGCCACGCUUGGUAUUGGGCGCCGGGCCCGUCCCCUCGUGGGCGGGCCCGCCCGAAAUGCAUCGGCGAGGACACCGACCCCCGGCGUGUUAGGAAUCUCACAGUUCGAACGUCAGGAGCACCGGUCGCCCUCCGCCGUCAAACCUCUUCUCAAAGGUUGACCUCGGAUCAGGUAGGGAUACCCGCUGAACUUAA
rnacentral:misc_RNA from 1 species